UUUUCUCUAAACUAUUAAGAGAGAGGCAAAAAAACAACAUAAGACUAAAAAAAAUCUUAGAUCAUUGUUUUCUCUUCUCCUUUUCGAAAUCAUCAUUCUAAAAUAAUCAAUUAUUUGAAAAAAGUGUUUGACAAAUUUUUUUUUUAAAAUGAUAUACCAAUAUCAUUUAUCUAUUUAUGAUUAUAGAUAAUCAUAAAUUUUACUAAACGAGGCCUUAUUUCUUUUUCAAUUCAUUUAUGGCAUUCGAAAUUAGAGAAGAGAUUUGUAAUCAGCCUAAAUUUCUCAUCGUUUUACUGUAAAAUUUUGAUUUUUUCCCCACAAAUACUCAAGAUCUAGUCUUCGCUUAUUUGAUAGAUAUCUUAAUACUGUAUGCCAAUCCUAAAUGUGAAUUUAGAAUGAUGAUUAUCCUUAUUUAAGAUACAUACCCCUCCAGGAUUCUCUGAAAAUAAUUCGAUUGGCACUAUAACCUAAUAUUCGUCCUCUCUGGUUUUAUUUUCGACUCUGAUUCAUUUUCCUAUUGUCGUAUAUAGUGUAAAUCUGACCUGAUCAGUUAGUUCAUAAUAGGAUUCAUGCUUAUCAUCGAUCAUUAGCAAAAGCUUUUGCAUUGCUGCUUUAUACUUCUGCUACAUAUGUUUAGAAAAAUAAUAAAAAAGAAUCAGCAAGAUUUUUUUAAAUUGUUUUGGACUGUUGGUAUUGAUUAGACUAGAUUAUCGUAAUCUACUUACUUACAUGCACUUUUCUACCCGUUCAUAUCAUAACAUUCUCUUUUUAAUCUGCUACAAGUGAUUUUUCUUAAGUUACUUAAACAAAAUCCCCUGAAUAUUAGACAGUGGAAGCACAAGAGAUUAGUAGUACACUGAGAAUUUGGCAUUACCCUUGUUGUUGUGCAUGUUUGUCAUGUAUCCCUUAAAAUAGCUAUAUGGGUUAGUAGGAGUAUUGUGGGAGUGGAUAAUUCAUGUACUAGUGUAGAAGUAGAGUUAUCUGUAGCAUAAAAAACUGGCAACCUUUUAGGCAACUUCAAGCUAGUUUGCGGGCGAAAUAAUAUUUAGAUCUUGUAUGUAUCUGUAUCGAUUCCGCGGUACAUAUUUCCAUGUACUGAUUUUCGCAGUACAUAUUUUCAUGUACUGAUUUCGCGGUACAUAUUUGCUUGUGCUGGUUUCGCAGUACAUAUUUUCCUCCCGGUGAGAUUAGUUGGCAUUCUUUUUCUUAUGAUUAGAGCUCACAUAUUCAUGCCACCUAUGCCUAAUGAAAUUUUGUUUAUCAGGUGUUAUGAGAGCAUCACUUUGAAGUUAAUGUCUAGGUGAUUAUACAAAUUAUGUCCAAAAUUGUUGGUUGAGUUCUUAAAGGAUGUUGUUUUCUUUUUUCUAUAAUUGAUUACUGUAUUAUACUUGCAGGAUAUUACUAAACCAGUUACAGAUGAAAUGUGCUUUCAUUGAAGAAAAUUCGGGAUUCAUUUUCGGCAAUCUUACUUUCCUGAAUUUGUUGACGUGGAUGGGAAUCAAAUAGAGCAAUGGAACCAUAGAACCCAUCCCCUCAAGAUUUUGGAGUCACCUCAAAUGGACGGAGAAGCACAAGAACUUUGUCUAUGAGAAGCGUCAUUUAUCCUCGGAAAUGCCUCAUUAGUUGCAGUUGGAAGAAGAACAAAUGAACCACACAUCUAUCCCAUCUAGCUGACUGCCUCACAUUCUACCAAACCAUACCUUUGUCUAUGGUGGCAAACUAGCAGUUGAGGUUAGUAGACUUGUAGGCAUUAAGGUUGAGAGACAGACUGGAGGAAUUAUCUCAUCAAAUUGAAAGGAUCUGAUACUCGGUAUAUAUCGAUAUGUAUAUUAUGGUUUAACUCAGUGGAUAUGUACUGGGUUUUAACUCGGUACAUGUUGAUAUGUACUAAAGUUGGCUAAGUUAUAUAGUUUUUGGCAGAAAUUUCUUUUGCGCUCUAGGUUACUACAGGAAGAUUUGUAAUGCCAGUAUUUAAGGAUUCAUACUUUUUUCUUAGUCUUCUAUAUUAAGUUAAUACGACUAGUAUGUUGUACUAUAAGAAGUAUUGAAAUACAUUCAAUUUUCGUUUUGCAAA